UAGAUGAACUUCAGUUCAGUUGCAUCUGGGAAUUCAAAUAAGUAAAAACAAUCGAAGCUGAAAGUUAGUCGCGAACAAGUGAACGCAGACGCAGGUCAGCCGUCGGGCAUUUAAGUUGAACCGUGGAAGCACCACACAGUACAAUUUUAUUAGCGAUAGUUAGAUAAAAACAAAAAAAAUACAACGGACAGUUCGUAGUCGUAGCGGCCUUACAAUGGGAAAAGUGAAUGGCGUGAUAUUGACCGCAGGUCUUCUAGUCAUCUUCGCUGGAGAAUGCUUCGUCGCAGGCAACGCAAUCGAGAGCAGCUGCGUGCUGCCACUGAAACCCGACUGGUCCUUCUUCUCGCCGUUGAUUUUUAGCCAAGAUGGUGCACUGAUUUCGACAGAAAAUGUGAGCGAUGAAACAGAGGAUAUCACGUUAUCCGUCGGUGACGAAGUGCUGCUGUCCUGCACACCGAACUAUUUCCGAGAAUUUUCUUCCGAAAAAGUUCUAAAGGCAAAAUGCAAAAAGGACAAAACGCUGGUCGUCAAUGGUCUGGACAAGAAUUUUGUUUCCGAACUUUCCUGCGAAGUGCGUUCGAUUGAGGAGAUCAUCGUCCCCGUUCGAGGUUGCCCAACAAGUGCCCGCUCGAUCGAGUAUGGGUACACAAACCCUGUUAAGGGCAAGUCGUACAUUCUGGGUGAAGCAUGUUACGACGUAAAACGUGGCCAGACGCUUUUCGUACACACCAAGAUUAAAUCAAGAAGCAAUACGGUAGAUGCUCUUGCCCUGAAGACAGAAAACAAUGCAAAUUACUUCCGCCAGGAACACCCGACCUCACGCUAUAAGGUUGAACUGAACAAGGCACUGAAUAUCAACGAUCAAGCCGAACGAUUUAAGGGAGUGUUCGGUAUUAAAAAUGUCCCCAAAAUUGAAGCACGUCGCUAUAUAAAUGAGGAGUUACUUACCCAUAAACAAUAUCAGGCUGUACUGAAGCUAGCAUGGAACUACCAGAUUGUCAAAGAUCUGGAUGCGCUGGAUAACUUCGAUAGUUUGGUAGAAGACAUAACUGAGCUAGAUGCCAAAGAAAUCGAAAUUUACACUGGAGCUCAUGGCAUUAUGCAAUUGAAAGACAAACACGACAACAACGUGGAUGUUUUCCUGAAGGAAAACCGCUUCCCGGUUCCCAAGCUGCACUGGACCGUAGUGCGCUCGGAGAGUAAAGCGGUAGCGUUUGCCGUGUUCAACAAAGCACAGCUCACAGACAAGGAACGGGACAAGGAUACUUUCUGUCAAAGCAUCUGCGACCAGCUAUCGUGGAUCAACUCGUUGAAGGAAAAUGACUCCUACAGUAAUCCAGCGCUCGGAUAUGUCCUAUGCUGUGAGCUGAAUGAUUUCCGCAAAACGAUAAAGGAAAUGCCACCGAUAACCGGGGUUAAAGACAUUCUGAAGUAGGAUCACCUGCCGAUUAGGCCGUUCCUAGCAAAAACACAAUUAGAGAAAAAAGUCAAGAAAAGCGCUGGCAUGUGAUUUAAAUUUUUAGUUUUACUAUUUAAUUAUAAACAACCCCCAAUGUGCAGAAUGCUCUCUUAAGGUAUAAGACACAGAAAACAAAAUCCUUUAUGGUAGACUUCUGACGAAUUGUUCUAGAUCGAUAGAUAGGCUUGCAUGAAGUUUUGGUGAAAACUAUGGAUUCCUGCGAAGUUGAAGUCUUUAGCUAUUGUUGGACCAGGCGGUAUCCCACCGUGAGUGCUGAAAAAGAGCUUCAGUGUUUUAGUAGAACCCCUGCGAGCAAUUUUCAAUUUCUCACUGCCAAGUCAGUCCCUACCUUCUUGAAAACGUUCGUGCACGAUGCCGGUAUACAAUAGGAGACAAAACGGAUAUUAAAACUUUCUUCAGUUAGAA